rnacentral:rRNA from 1 species
AGGGCACCACCAGGAGUGGAGCCUGCGGCUUAAUUUGACUCAACACGGGAAAACUUACCCGGCCCGGACACUGGAAGGAUUGACRGAUUGAGAGCUCUUUCUUGAUUCAGUGGGKGGUGGUGCWUGGCCGUUCUUAGUUGGUGGAGCGAUUUGUCUGGUUAAUUCCGAUAACGAACGAGACUCUAGCCUACUAAAUAGACUGUUCRGUUUUAUAGCCSGAAUCACUGGGCGUGUAGCUCUCCGCAAGGGGGGUUGCAUGUUCGGCUCUGGUGACGUUGGCAGUGCUUCUUAGAGGGACAGGCGGCGGUUCAGCCGCACGAAACARAGCAAUAACAGGUCUGUGAUGCCCUURGAUGUCCRGGGCUGCACGCGCGCUACACUGAAGUGAUCAGCGUGCAAUUUACGUUUGGUGAUCUGUCAAGAUUGCCCAACCCGUUGAACCUUCUUCGUGAUUGGGAUAGGGGAUUGUAAUUAUUCCACUUGAACGAGGAAUUCCCAGUAAGCGCAAGUCAUAAGCUU